CAGUAUCUUUAUAUUUAUGUGGUGCUGAGGAGUGAACCCAGUGCCUCAUGCAUACUAGGAUUCCAUCCAGAACUCUACAUUACAUUCAGCAGACAAACCUUAUGACACAGUUAGACUUCUGUUUCUGAUGACCUACAGUUUUGAGAACUACUGUCAUGCACACCAUGUGCUGAAUAACAUAUAAGAGGAACACCUUCUGGGAAACUGAUUUUGUAGUUUGGAGUCUGUACAGCAAAGCAGUUUCCAGAAACAUUCACAUUGAGAGGUUCCAGUUUGGGAGAGUAAGAAGAAAAGGCUAGAUCCAACUUGAUGACCGGAAGGGAGGAAUAUGAGGAGCUGCUCUCUGGAAGACAACAUGGAGUCAGAAGGAGAAUCCUAAGCUGGCUUAUUUGCUUCACAUUCAUCUUCAAGGGCUUUGGACAAAUUUGUCCCCGAGUUAGGAAGAAAAAAAAGCAACAAGUUUCAGCAAAGAGUCAGCAGAGGAGUUGUACAAACUGAGAGAACUCAAAUCUUCUUGUCUUUAUUUUUCUUUUCAAUCAUGAGAGCAUAACAAUGGUUUAGCGUCUUUCAGCACUCCAAGUUAGUACUAAACAACUGAACCUAAGUGGCUCUACUUUUGUAUGUGGAGAUUUCCCUGUGCGAAGAAUAAAGAAAAUCAUUCUUCUCAGACCUAGGAAAGACUCCAGCAGCUCCAUCAAAAAAGUCACCAUUCCUUUGUGUGAUGGCUCAGGAGGCAGGAAAAUAAUCUGAGAGCCUGCAAUACUUUUAGCAGGCAUCUGGCAUCUGAAGCAAGACCAUGUCUCCAGAAAACUGCCUUCUCUUUCAGCCUGGUAACUAUGGACACUAGCCAGAGUGAUUUUGGCCCAUAUUCGUCCUUUCUGAAUUCCUCUAAAGAGUAAGGGAGGGAAAGAAGGAGAGGUGUUUUUUUUUUCUUUUUGGUAAAUUAAAAUAAAUAAAAAUAUCUACUUUUGUAGGUUAAAAACCCUUGGAUAAGUAAAAAGCUCUGAUUGUAUGCAUCGAAAGCCAACUAUUUGGUAAAUGUAAAAACACACAAUCUUUUUUUACUCUUUAAGAUGGGUUGAGACUUCAUGGUUCUGAAGCCAGGGCACACAGAUUCUAGCUUACCUUCUCUGGUCUGGCACCUUUCUACUGCUGGCAAUAAGCAUGGCUUUUACAGUGAGAUUUUGAAGAGAGGUCUGAGUUUGAUUAACUGUGCCUUUAUGAAUAACAUCCUCAGAGAAUUGAAGGCCGUGUUCAGAUUCUUGACUGCAGCAGCCAUGGAGACUUGCUGUACAGCUGAGCUGCUCCUUGCAGCAGAGGAUUCUCACAGGUCAUAACUCUCUCGACCUGUACCAGUCAUCACCUUUUUUUUUUUUUUUUUUACAGGGUGAUGGUACUAAAAUUUUCAUUUUGCUCACUGCUUAACUGAUUUGCCUGUUUACUGAGAAGCAUCAAGUCCAUUUUGAUAUGUAAUUCAUUUCCUACUGGGAAGUAGCUGAUCAGACAUAGACUUGAGAUGUUCUCAGAGCAUGAAAAUGUAGCUAAUUAGAGGUUAAGGUAAAUGAAGAGAAGAGGAAAUUUUGUAAUAAUUAUUUUCAUCUCAUGUACUUCUUACUACUUCAGUCUUCGACUCUCCCUCAGAGAGGUACUGCUGGUGGAGUAUUCGAAUCAUGGAGAAUCAGCCUUGGUAACAUGUUCAGGCCACACCCAUCACCAUGGGCAAAUCCAGCUACUGGAUGGAGGAACUUUCCCAGUUGGUCUGUCUGCCAGUUUGCGAAUGCAAUUGAGUGGAAAAUCAAAUGGCAGUUCAUGUUUUUUCCUUCUCAACAGAGACCACCAAAGGGGGAAAAAAGCCAUUAAUCUUUCCUGUGUUAAUUGAGAACACUGGAUACCAUUAUGAAACCAUUUCCCUUAGAGUCAUUUGAAUCUUAGUUCAAGUUUGUUGAACUUGUAAUUGUAGUAGGCGUAAUCAUGUCACAUUGUACUGCAUUACAGUGUAAUUGCUUUUCAUUCUACAUGGUUCAUAAAGCAAAAUAAAUUUUGAAUAACCAAUA